UAAAUAUUUACCUGUAGAUGAAGAUAUUACAGUUUAUAAUGCUGUUUCCUGCGUUCUAAAACCAGUUACUUGGAGUACUAUGGAGAAUUACCUGAAAACUAACGGAUUUAAUGUUCCAUGGAAAAAAAACAAUUUAAUACUGCUCCUGAAUGUUGAACAAAAACUAUUAUUUCGAUAUUUUUCUGAAAAUUUUUUUGCACUGGAUACCUGUAUCCAGUGCAAAAAAAUUUUCAGAAAGGCGAGGGUCAAACGGCGAAUAAAAUAUUGGUUGGUAUACCAAAUGGGAAAAGACUACUAGGUAGACCGGGACGUAGAUUUGAGGAUAAUAUUAGAAGAAACCUGAAAGAAAUAGUUUAUGAAGACAGCCAAUGGAAGGAUCGCGCUCAUGGACGGGAACAAUAGCGGGAAUUGGUGGAAGCACGUCUUUACUCAAUCAGGAGUAGAAAAAAGAAUAAACGAAUAACGAAUAAACCAAAAGAAAAAUGUUUCGUCGCCAAGCACUUAAGAUGCAGCUGUUCCUUGGUAGGGAUAAAGAAAACAAAGAUUAAAAAGGACCGCCCAUCGAUAGAACCAUAUAUGUAAUACUUCUAUAUGGACAGUUUAAAUGGGAAGGAAUGUCCCACCAUAUAUGUAAUACUUCUAUAUGGACAGUUUAAAUGGGAAGGAAUGUCCCACUAUUAAGGUGCCGACAUAUACUAUUUUCUCUCUCGUCCCACAUACCUGGUAACUGGUUCACGUUGCGCAUGCUUGAGAAUUCCCCAUGAUAUUAAUAGAGGGAGAAGAAUGAGCGGAAUAAUUUUGUGGUUAUGAUUCUGUUUACAAAUAUAUUUAUUAUUGUAAUUCAGAAAAACAAUUAUAAAUUUUAAAAAACUUUUGUUUUAAUUUAAAUAAUAUUCUUUUUCCAACAAUCAGUUAUUGAAAAAUGGUGAAGUUGUGUUAUUUAUGUGAUAGAAAAGCGUCGAGAGCUGACAAUAUUUCUUUGCAUCAAUUUCCGAAAAAUUUGGAGAUACGUUUGAAGUGGCUAAAUGCUUGUGGAUUAACUGAAAAUAAUGAUGUAAAAAGAACUUACAUAUGUUCCAGACAUUUCAAAGCUGAUGAUAUUUGUCAAUCAAAAAUUUUUGGAGUUGUUAAAUCUUCU
rnacentral:lncRNA from 1 species